UCAGUCUCUAUGGGUCCCCCGGUAAAAGGUCUCAGUGCCAGGUCCCCCGGUAAAAGGUCUCAGUCUCUACGGGUCCCCCGGUAAAAGGUCUCAGUGCCAGGUCCCCCGGUAACAGGUCUCAGUCUCUACGGGUCCACCGGUAAAAGGUCUCAGUGCCAGGUCCCCCGGUAAAAGGUCUCAGUCUCUACGGGUCCCCC